CCUGGUGGCUCAGAUGGUAAAGUGUCUGCCUGCAAUGCAGGAGACCCAGGUUCGAUUCCUGGGUCAGGA
rnacentral:tRNA from 1 species